CUUGGCCAGUCUCUCAUUCUUGUUCUUCUUUUCUUUUUCUUUUUCACUCAACACAGCAUAUAUACACACACUCCUCUCCCACCAGUACACUCCUCAUUACUUCCACCAUCUUUUCCGGCAAAGUUCUUCAGAAAGCUCUCUAAAAACCUCUUAAGCUCCUACAUCUCAUCUUAUUUAAGGUUCUAGUUAAUCUUAUUUGGAGCUUGGAGAAUUAGGCCUUUUUGUGGGUUGCAAGAGUAGACAACUAUUGUUUUGAGACAACUUUUUGGUGGCUAGCAGUAGUUAAACUAACUGCUGAUGGAGGUUGAGUUUUGUGACGGAGAUAAUUGAUGAUGUAUAACUUAGAGUAGGCUUGACCCAAUUCUUUUGUAUCUAAUAGGGGUUAUGCCUUUAUUUCCACUAAUUAUGAGACAAGUUGAUGAUAUAUAAUUAUUUAUUCAAACCUCCAUUCUUUUGUGUUUAUUGCAUAGAGCUCUAACUUACUUUGGGAGUAAAUUUAAUGGAAUUAUUAUGAUAA